GUGUUUUUUUCUUAGAGAGGAGGGUGGGCUUAAUGUUGGUGUAUUAAAGGUGGGGCUAUUGAUCGUUUUGAGAAGACACGCCAGCAGAUGAGCUCUGAACGGAGGAGUUGGAGCGCGUCAAAAGUUAGAGAGCGUCAAAAGUUGUUUCGAGAUGGUUAAAGGUAAGCCAUUUUAAUACUGGUAUAAUAAUAAUAAUAAUAAUACACUGAGGUUAUCAUAUAAACAUGAUGUAAUGUGUAUGUAAUGUCAUGCAGAUAUAACCGUGUUUGCUGACGUGCAUGAAGUAUUUGAUGACGACUUUAGUGGAGUUUAUUUAACACAAUCAGACUACGAUCUCGUGGCGGCUGCUACUAGGUUAAAAAUCCCACUGAUACAGACUGGUUUGGAGGCAGAACUAUCAGAGCAGCGUGAUUUCAAUCAAAUCAUACCCCCCUUCGGCCGACAGGAGGUUGUCACGAGCUCUGCACGUCAUUUUGAAGCAACAAAAACGGCAGAGUUAUCAGAGCUACGUGAUAGCACUCAAAUCAUACUACCCUCCGGCCAGCAGGCUGCUGUCACGAGCAUAGAGACGGAAGAGGGAGCAUCCACAGAUAUAGAAUUGGCGGACUCUUUAUCUGCUUACGAAGACCUUCCUCAAGAAUCGAUAAACAAAGUCAGAGUUAAGCGUUGUGGGACGGUGGUGCCUCAAAGAGCGAGAAAGAGCAGACGUGCAGCCUUCUACUCAACCACUAAGGAGCCUGAAUCGACAAACGAGAGCCAUCACCAUAAGACAAGG